rnacentral:rRNA from 1 species
GCUUGUCUCAAAGAUUAAGCCAUGCACGUCUAAGUAUAAGCGAUUAUACUGUGAAACUGCGAAUGGCUCAUUAUAUCAGUUAUAGUUUAUUUGAUGGUCCUUGCUACUUGGAUAACCGUAGUAAUUCUAGAGCUAAUACAUGCAUAAAUCCCCGACUGCUUGGAAGGGGUGUAUUUAUUAGAUAAAAACCAAUGCCUCGUGCUUUUGGUGAGUCAUGAUAACUGCGCGGAUCGCAUGGCCUUGCGCCGGCGACGCUUCAUUCAAAUUUCUGCCCUAUCAACUUUCGAUGGUAAGAUAGAGGCUUACCAUGGUGUUAACGGGUAACGGGGAAUUGGGGUUCGAUUCCGGAGAGGGAGCCUGAGAAAUGGCUACCACUUCCAAGGAAGGCAGCAGG